UUAAUUCAAAUUUGUAGGGUGUUGAAACGUUUACCUACGUUUACCGCUAGGGGCGUUGUUCCAACUGCAUAAUAAAUUAAGUUA
rnacentral:pre_miRNA from 1 species